rnacentral:tRNA from 1 species
CAAAUUAAAACUAAAAUAGUAUUUUAUUUACACUAAAAUUUUUAAUUGUUAAAUCAAUUUAAUUUGA